rnacentral:rRNA from 1 species
UGGUGGGUAGUUUGACUGGGGCGGUCUCCUCCUAAAGAGUAACGGAGGAGCACGAAGGUUGGCUAAUCCUGGUCGGACAUCAGGAGGUUAGUGCAAUGGCAUAAGCCAGCUUGACUGCGAGCGUGACGGCGCGAGCAGGUGCGAAAGCAGGUCAUAGUGAUCCGGUGGUUCUGAAUGGAAGGGCCAUCGCUCAACGGAUAAAAGGUACUCCGGGGAUAACAGGCUGAUACCGCCCAAGAGUUCAUAUCGACGGCGGUGUUUGGCACCUCGAUGUCGGCUCAUCACAUCCUGGGGCUGAAGUAGGUCCCAAGGGUAUGGCUGUUCGCCAUUUAAAGUGGUACGCGAGCUGGGUUUAGAACGUCGUGAGACAGUUCGGUCCCUAUCUGCCGUGGGCGCUGGAGAACUGAGGGGGGCUGCUCCUAGUACGAGAGGACCGGAGUGGACGCAUCACUGGUGUUCGGGUUGUCAUGCCAAUGGCACUGCCCGGUAGCUAAAUGCGGAAGAGAUAAGUGCUGAAAGCAUCUAAGCACGAAACUUGCCCCGAGAUGAGUUCUCCCUGACUCCUUGAGAGUCCUGA